GUUUUAUCAAAGCUUAAGUUUCAAACGGGUGAAAAUCCUACAGCAACACUAAAUUCACGAUAUAAUUACAACAUGCUUAAAUUCAUUGAGACAUUUCAACAAACAUUAAACAGGCAUUGUGUUUGGUUUUUGUUUAUUGGGCAAGAAGUAGAGUCAUUGGCUUUGAUAAAAGAAACAACCAUUUGGCAAGACUUGUUUCAAAUUGACGUUUCGAAUGAGUAAUUUCAAAUGGUUUGCCAAGAUGUGAAGCUACAAUAGAAUAAAUAUUAGCGUGAAGAGCUUCUCACUCAAAGUGGUUUGCUUGUAAUAAGAUUAUCUUAAUAAGAGUAUGAAUUACUUUAUUGACACCUCCAUAAUCUAAUGGAAUGAUAAAGAUUCAAAAUAAAA